rnacentral:rRNA from 1 species
UCUACCCUGCUUAACUGGAGCGUCAAUCAUUCUGCCAGACUUGAAGCGGAAGAGGGGGUGGAAUUACCGGUGUAGUGUGAUAAUGCGUAGAUCUCGGAGGAACACCAGUGGCGAAGGCGGCCCCUGGGCUACUCCUGACGCUGAGAGGCGAAAGCUAGGGGAGCAAACGGGAUUAGAAACCCCGGUAGUCCUAGCCGUAAACGAUGGAUACUAGGUGUAGGGGGUGAAAACUCCCUCUGUGCCGAAGCUAACGCGUUAAGUAUCCCGCCUGGGGAGUACGGCCGCAAGGCUAAAACUCAAAGGAAUUGACGGGGACCCGCACAAGCAGCGGAGCGUGUGGUUUAAUUCGAUGCUACGCGAAGAACCUUACCAGGGCUUGACAUGUAGGUAGUAGUGAAGCGAAAGCGGAACGAUCCUUCGGGAAGCCUGCACAGGUGCUGCAUGGCUGUCGUCAGCUCGUGCCGUGAGGUGUUAGGUUAAGUCCUGUAACGAGCGCACCCUUGCCGUUAGUUAUACGUGUCUAGCGGGACUGCCCGUGUAAACUGGAGGAAGGUGGGGAUGACGUCAAGUCCGCAUGGCCUUUAUGUCCUGGGCUACACACACGCUACAAUGGCCGGUACAAUGGGUCGCCAAGCCGCGAGGCGGAGCCAAUCCUGCAAAGCCGGUCUCAGUUCGGAUUGUAGGCUGCAACUCGCCUGCAUGAAGUUGGAGUUGCUAGUAACCGCAGGUCAGCCACACUGCGGUGAAUACGUUCCCGGGUCUUGUACACACCGCCCGUCACGUCAUGGGAGCUGGUAAUACCUGAAGCCAGUGGGCUAACCGAAAGGAGGCAGCUGUCGA